UUUAAAAGUUUAAACUGCUGUUUCCAUAGCUAAAACUUUCUAAUUGGUCGUUUGGCGUUGUUUUGCCUUAUUUUAGUCCAAGAGUAUCCUCAAGAUCAGCUGUCCCAAAGGAGGAAGUUCAGGCCAGCCCUCUCCAGAUUCAACAUUUUGUUAUCCCAGAGCAGGAGGCCCAGGCACCUGACAGCUGCUCAGACAAGGAUUAAUACAAAUCUUUACACUUAGAGGGAUUAAAAU
rnacentral:lncRNA from 12 species